AGCAGCCGCGGUAAUUCCAGCUCCAAUAGCGUAUAUUAAAGUUGUUGCAGUUAAAAAGCUCGUAGUUGAAUUUCGGGAUCAAUGCGUCGGUCGUGCCUUCGGUACGUACUAGCGUCAUUGAUUCCUCCCUUCUGAAGAACCGUGAUGUCAUUAAUUUGGUGUUACGGGGAAUCAGGACUGUUACCUUGAAAAAUUAGAGUGUUUAAAGCAGGCUAACGCUUGAAUACAUUAGCAUGGAAUAAUGAAAUAGGACGUUCGAACCUAUUUUGUUGGUUUCUAGGAUCGACGUAAUGAUUAAUAGGGAUAGUUGGGGGCAUUAGUAUUCAAUUGUCAGAGGUGAAAUUCUUGGAUUUAUUGAAGACUGACUACUGCGAAAGCAUUUGCCAAGGAUGUUUUCAUUAAUCAAGAACGAAAGUUAGGGGAUCGAAGACGAUCAGAUACCGUCGUAGUCUUAACCAUAAACUAUGCCGACUAGGGAUCGGAUGAUGUAAUUUAUAAUGACUCAUUCGGCGCCUUAACC
rnacentral:misc_RNA from 1 species